rnacentral:tRNA from 1 species
GAGGAUGUAUCUCACUUGGUAGAGAACUUACCUAGCAUAUAGGGAGCCCUGGAUUCAAAUCCCAGCACCCCA